AAGAAAGUUACAAGGACAUUACUAGCAGCCAACUUGCAAAUAGCUAUAUGCAUGAUUACCCAUACUUCCCCCAUUUUCACAUCCUCUUCUUUGAUUAUUCCAGAUUAUAUGUGCUUUUGCUUGCAUUAUGUUAACUCGUUCUUAAUUCUCCGGCAUCUCUCUUUUCUAAUAUUCAUCCUAAUGACAAAACCAAUGGACCCUGCUUCAUGGGAAUCAAAAAGUAAGUAUUUAAAUAGCAAGAGCAUGGCGUAUUAUUUUUUCUAUUGCUCUUGUUGUUCUCUUGGGUCGUUUGGGAAGUGGCAUUGAGGUUUAACUGGUACAUAUGCAUACUGUACAAUGACGCUGCUUAAUGAACUCUCUGAAAUCUCCCACAAAAGCAAGAAAGGUGUGUUAUUUGUUUAUUUGACUCUGUGCAGUGAACAAUCUGAUUCUUAUGUAGAAUCUACGAGUUAAGAAUUCAUUUUAUUUCUGAUGCAGUGCUUCUAUGCAGCUCCUAGCUGAAUCUUCUCUCACAUUGAGCCCCAGAGAAUUUUAUGAAAAAGACGCUCUUUUCAUUUGAUGUGCAGUAUAAUAUUGUCCACAUACGUGUUUGGACAAAUGGCCCUUCUUUCUAUUUCCCUUUUUCACUCUAAGAUUAAAGAAAUCAUUAGAAUUAUCUGAGAUUUGUCACCAUUCACAUGCACUGACAGUGUUUUGCUUUGGUCUGCUAAUUAUGUUUCGCAUUGUUGGCCCCGUGAGUCUAUUAAAAAGAAGGCAUAAUUGUACCAAAAAAAAAGAAGGCAUAAUUAGUUGCAGAUAGUAGUCGUCAUCAUGAGAAUAAGAGG
rnacentral:lncRNA from 1 species